rnacentral:lncRNA from 1 species
CUAUAACUUAUGAUGUUAUAACACUUGUCAUUGGUUCAAUUAUAUAGUACUAUAACUUAUGAUGUUAUAACACUUGUUAUUGGUUCAAUUAUAUAGUACUAUAACUUAUGAUGUUAUAACACUUGUCAUUGGUUCAAUUCUAUAGUAAUAUAACUUAUGAUGUUAUAACACUUGUCAUUGGUUCAAUUCUAUAGUACUAUAACUUAUGAUGUUAUAACACUUGAAUGACAAGUGCUAUAACAAUACUGUUGAACCAAUUAGAAAUGUUAAUCUUUGUCAUUGAAUCUGUAUGUAAUAGAGUUGUUGUUGAAUAUAUGAAGAACUAAAUCAGUUGAUAGCUUACUGACUGAGCUAGUCAAAAGUGAAUUGUAUUUUAAAUUAACUAUCCAUUUGAUUUGAGCAACUAAGACAUCUUUAAAUAAUUUCCAUUUUGCUUCUUUGUUGAACCAGUCAUUCUAAGUGGUUCGAGACUUCGGUGGUUAGCCAAUUAAAAAACCUAAUUUUUACUGAUAAAGUAUGUUGGAAAAUACGUACUUAACUGAUAUUAAUCCAUCAGUCAUGGAAAAAGUGCAAUCAAACAAAAUCGUAUAUUUUUUUUGACUGAUUGUAAGAAGUUCGAUUGUUGAUCGUUUGUAGAAGAUGUUUGAAUCUCUAGUUAAGUUGGUUUUCAACUCUGAGUUUAUCACUUCGUUUUUUAAAAGGAAGUUCAUAUAGUUCUGAUAACGUUAGAAGUCUUCCCCCCCC